CCGGGAGGAAACGCGGCCCGGACGGUGCUGGAGGCGGAGGAUCCCGGAGCCGAGAUGGAGAUCCCGGCUCCCACCCGCGUGGAGCCCCCAGAAUGUGGGGGUGCGCGCUGGGGGCGCGGGAGUUUCCGGUUCCUGAUGGGCCGGCGUGACCCUGGAGGAUGUGGCCGUGCGUUUCUCCCGGGAGGAAUGGAGGCUGGUGGACGAGGCUCAAAGACGCCUGUACCUGCAUGUGAUGCUGGAGAACUUUGCACUUGUCUCCUCUCUGGGUAAGACUCACAGCCUCACAGGGACCUGGACUGGACUCUCCUCCCUCCCCCCAUCCCCUCCCACUGUCCUCGGGCCUGGACCCCAGCAC